CCAUCCCCGCAUGCAGGAGGAUUUGCCUCCAGCCCUCCCACGGCUGAAUCCAAGCCAUUCUGAACCACCACCUCACAACAGACUCAGAGCAUCUUUCUCUGCUGCAGUUGCAAACCCGUCAGAGUUUCUCUUGAGUGUUUUGCACCUUGUGAUGACGUCUGUCUGGGCUCACACCCUUCAUGUAGCUGCAGCUCUCCCUUGUCGCCCUAACUUAGGGCAGUGCUGUGGGGAGCAGAGCAGGGCUGGGAGCCAUCAAAGGUGCCACGUGAGGACUUGUUAAGACCCACAUGCAGAAUAUGAGCUUCAGCCGACCCUCCCUGGUGAGUACUGAAACUUCAGGGGCUGAACAUUUUCUCCCUGCUGGUUUUCUUCAACUUUUUUUUACCUCUUUGAAUGAAACAGACAUGUUGAACUAUUUUGAUACGACUGCGGCAAUGGGAAUACGCUUUCCUGAUGCUUCCAAUCCUGCAAAAUCACCUGCUCUUCUCCAACCAAAAAUACAAGAGUUGACCUUCUGAUGUUGAAGGAAAACAAACAAGCCUCUGGAUUCCCCUCAGGAAAACAAAUGGUCUCUGCUGUUCCAGCAUGGCCCUAUUUGGACAGCUCAAGGCUGGAAAUUCAAAAUUAGCAUUUGACAAUGAAACAAUCCAGGCAUGGAUUUUAAAAAGAGCAAUGAAUGGAAAGAGUUUUACCGUCAUUUAGGGAACUCUUCCCUUUCUUCUCUGACCACUUUUCUUUGCUGCUUGGUGCUACUGCCCUAGGAGGAGAUUUUGGGCUGCCCUGCCUUCCUUCAUCUCUGCAGGUUCCUGCUGGUGCUGCCCUAAUCUGGGUGAAGAGGAGAAAAUGUCUCUCCAGGCUCACACUAUGCAUAUGGAGAGUGGAAGAGGUCCAUGUGGGGAUGGGAGUAAUCCUGACAGGGGUAUGAACACUGGGGCUUCUUGACCAGGCUGUAGCCAUUUACCUUGCAGAGCCAGUGUGUGCUCUGCUGCCCAGCAGAGCAGUGGGGACUAAAGCAAUUAGAAGCAGUGGUACAUGGCUAAGAUGGAGGAGGAAAGGGCAGCACACGUGACUUUAUGGGCAGGUGUGAGGUCCCCAUCCCUGGCAGCAGCACGCAGCACAGCAGGGAAAACCCUUCCCCAGAUCCUGGCAUCCCUUCUUCCUCAUAGUGCUGCUACAAACAGCACAGCAGUGACUCACCCAGGGAGCAGGGCUGAGCUGGCUCUGCUCACCCUGUCCCUUGACCCCGUGUUCCUGCCAGUGAUGCAUGUUUUUCCAUACAGGUCCCACACAGUGGCUGUGAGCACCCCAGAGGGGAUUUUUAAAUGGACAUGGCCAAAGGAUUGCAGCCUGGGAGCAAAUCAAAGCAAUCCUUAAGGGAUAGAGGAGCCAUUCCCACAGCGACCUGUGCUGUGAGGCACGAACCUGCCUGCAGAAAGCACACAAUGCAAGGCCAGCUCUUGGCACGGCAUGGUUCCUGGUGUGCUGGCCAGACAUCUCUGCGUGGGGACAUCCCUGCUACCUGCUGGCAGAUUGCAGCCUGUGCCCACCAAAAGGAAGGCCCACCUGAUGCCACUCGUUUGCUGGGAAGAUGGUGCUCUGACUUCCCUUCAGGCUUUCUGGAAGAUGCCAGAGAGGACCGUUAGCACAGCAGGAUACUUCCUAGCAGACCCUACACCAUAUCUGUGCUCAGUAAAUACGUCUGCUUGUAUCCCAUCCAUUUCCCUGACACCCAAGACCUGCCACUGCUCACCCCCACAUCAUGUGCCCUUUGGGUCAAGUUGACUGGGAAUGCACCCAACCCACCUACAUUUGUGUUUGUGCAAAGGUUGUUUUGUCUCUGGCAGGUCCUGAUUCUUUUUCCAUGGUGGUUUUGCACUGCAUUGCAUUGCGUUGCCAUCAUCCUUCCAAGAAAAGCUCUCCAAGUACCUUCUGCAGGUGUCAUAGCACCAUUUCAUAAAUGUCUUUGGGGACAGAUUUGCAAUGCAUUAAGUACAGCUGUCAGCAAGAUGUCCCCACCAUUUUAACGCUAGAGCUGGGUCAGAGCCACCUCCCAGGGAACAGAUGACCUGAAAGGUGUCCUCAAUCUAUCAGAUCCUCCAAAUUAAGCCCUGCAAAAUGAGACCAGUAACGAGGCCAAAGAAGGGACGCAAUGUUGUGCAAAUACUGCAGGCUUAUCUGCUUAUCUGGAUUAUGCAACAGGCCUAGAAGUGCUUCUAUCCUAAGAACUUUUAAAAUGGUCUUCUGAGCUCUCAGGAGGUGUUGCAACACAGUGGCUCACUGCACUCCAAGGUGUGAGGCAUGUUCUGAGGAAAUUCUUGACUUACCUGUUGGCUUCCAGGCAAACUCAGUCAGUGUGUGCUACCCAGCACUUGCUCAUAGCUCAACGUAUGACUUUCCUGCUUCCAGAGAAGCCAGGGAGGAAGCAGAGAUGGUGCCUUGCAGAAAGCGUAAGGGCACAGCCAUGUUGCUGUGCUCUGCUUGUGGCGGAUGGGAGCCAGGAUAAGGCCACAAAGCCAUUCAGCUCUCUGAACUCCUACACUGCUUUUCUAACUUGACCCUGACAGCAGGAACUGAGCAGGACAGCUGUGCCAGGAUGAGUGGAAUCAGGACCCGUAAGCUCCGAAGCGUUAGGGUCAGCAAAGCCAUUUAUGUCAUACGGGAGGGAUGACAAAGGCAGUGACCUACAUGCAGGUCUGUCUGGUUGCACCACAGACAGGGAAAAGGCCACAGUGCAAGAAAUCCUCCUGUGAUGGAAGUGAAGGUGAGCACUACCCUGGGAGCAGAGCUCUUCUCUGGAGAUGAGUUCCCCUAUGCUGAGCUGGAGAGCUUGACUUCCUCAUCUCCUGUCUGGUUUCCAUAUGAUGCUCGAGGUAUGGAUGGCCCCAUACCAAUCUCAGCUCCACCAUACUGGUGAUUUGAGGUGUUUCUCUCAGAGAUCAUAGGUAAUUCAACAGAAAUAUACAGCCAUGACCAGGAGUUAGAGGGUCACAUACCUCUAAUUGGGCUCUGAGAGCCAGGCCAGGUCUUUAUUUCUCACACUAUAUCCAAUGCUCUCUGACUUGGUGGUGAGACCAGUAGAGAUGUUCAGAUGUGCAUUCUCUGUGCUACCCGGGGAGUUUGGGAGCACUCAGAUUUGGGGCAGAGCCCGUUCCCACUGCUCUGCAGGGAGCAGGCAUCUCCACCAGGCUUUUCCAGCAGCAGACACACCAGCAAAGUGCAUCCCACACUGCUGGAGCUGCAAGCAGCAGCACUGCUAUCGGUUGCCUCGUUACUUCCAGUAGAUCCCUGGGCUGGGUGCUCACUGUGUGCUUGCAAGGCUCAGUGUCUAGUGCAUAAGCCCUGGUUAUUCUUGUCCUCCUGGUUUUCUCCCAUUCCCUGCCCUAAUUUCUCCUCUCUGGAGCAGGCUUGCCUCUCCUGAACCCUCAAGCUAAAACUCUUCAUGUCCCCUUCCAACAUUCUUCUUCCCCGGAAGAGCUGCAGACAUACGGACUCCCAUGGGAGCAGAGUCCUCUUGUCCCAUGCACACACUGGAUUAUCUCCCAGCAGAUGCACAGGGGCAGCGAUGGGGACCUGCAGCCCCUUCCCAGUUUGCCUGGCUCUAACUGACAUAUCUCUGGGAGCUCAAACAGAACUCAAAUUGCACAAAUCCCUCUGAAAUACACGCUUGGCACUGGAAGCUCUGAUCGUCCCCGAGCAUAAGCUAAAUAGGAUUUUCUUCAAGUUUACCUUAAUACAAAGACCAGCUGCAUCCUGUCAGGCUGGAGGAGAUCGGCUUUGCGAGCGGAGGAGAAAAGAGUGAGAAAGAAGCAAAUUAAAGUAUUCCUGAGAGGGGAGAGGAUGUGUGAAUCCCUGAUGUGAAAUGGCCUGAAAUGAAAUCGCUGCAACAAGCAGCCUCCACAGAGUGCUUCUAGACUUGUGCUGUUGCCUUUCAUCGACCAAUUUAUUUCACCAAAGGCAAAAAUGCACGUCUGAGUGGACAGGACUCUUUGGCAGGAAUGGUACUGCUCUGUAAGGAGAUGGGAAGGAAAUGGAAGGUGAGAAUUGUCUGGAGGAGCUGCAAGAGUUAUGGGAUUUUUGAUGUAUGGGUUAUUCUCUUUUGAGUACAUUACACAGGAAUUUUAUUAUUGUUUGUUUCCACCAGAAAACAAAUCCAGGAAGGAAUUCUUAGAGGACACUUCGACAUUUUGGUUUCCACAAAGUCUGAAUACCCAUUUUUUUUCAGUUUUUGCCUCUCCUGUCAUACCCAGGAAAGCAACCUACGUUGCUUUUCCUUAAGCACAUCAGGAUGUGAGCCUUGAGUACAUCAUCUCAGCUCCACCAGCUGUGAAAUGAAUGGAGAGCACAGGUGGGUGCAGAGUGCAUCCAGAGGGGAGGAAUCAGUAUUUAAACAGAUGAUGUGCCUGGGAAGCUGAAGUGGGAUUUGCUAAAAUGCCACCCUAGUGGCAGGGAGAACUGGGAUUGCUCUCCUUCCAACAGAAAGUGCUCCAUGAGCAGAGGUGCUUCUCUAGCUCUUCUCAGCAGGGUUGGUGCCCAGGUGCAAUACUUGACGUGGUGUCCUUGGUAAGCAGCAUUGCCCUGGGCUUUGGCUGUGUGGGAGGAAUGGAAGCAGCUCAGCACUGAAAGCAGCCCGGUGCUGAGGAGCCCAAGCACAGAUACAGGCUGGGCAGAGAAUGUCUUGAGAGCAGCCCUGAGGAGAAGGAUUUGGGGGUGUUGGUUAAUGAAAGACUCAGUGUGAGCCAGCAGUGUGCGCUUGCAGCCCAGAAGGCCAACCAUAUCCUGGGCUGCAUCAAGAGGUUGUGUUUGCUCCAUCUCUGGAAACAUUCAAAACCAGGCUGGAUGGGGCUGUGAGCAACCUGUGCUAGAGGGAGGUAUCUCUACCUAUAGCACAGGGUUGGAACUGGGAGAUCUUAAAGGUCCCUUCCAACUCAAACCAUUCUAUGAUGCUAUGAAGGAGCCUGCAGUCCCUCCUUGUGGGAUCAGGACUGGGGGCCACUCGCUGCCCCUCUACCUGUGCACACAUGGCUGAGAUGCUCACAGCAGGCUGUGGGGAUGCCCCAGGCUCAUGGUGUCCCCUCCUGCUCCCCCCAGCUGGUAGGUGCAGGUAAACAGGAGGGAGAUUAUCUUUAGACAGGAGGGAUAAAGAUACUGAGCGCAGAUUAACCGGGCAGGCCCAGGAGCAGGUAAUCUGCCCGUGCUCUGCAGCUUGCACAGCUCUGGCCAAGUGGGGGAUAACUGCAGUAUCUGCCAGAGCUGAGGCCUGGCGGUGCAUUGACCUCUGGGUGAGUUCUCAUGGGAGGGCUGAGCUUUCUGCACACCUGCAUGUGGCACCUGGACCUGAGCAGGAUGGGAUGCCUUGCAGUGCUCCUCAGCCCUGGACUUGCUGGAUUUCAGGGCGGCUGUUUGUGCAGUCCUUUGUCCCCACUGCAUCUCCCAAUGGGGCCUUUGCUGGCUGGCCCUAAAAACCUCUUUCUCUCUAAUCAACACAUUGCAUAAUUACUACAUUUCUUACUCAAUUACUGUUGUUUGCACGUUCUUUCAGCAAACAGCUCCAAGUGUUUGGAUCCCCUGCCCAAGUCCAGUUCCUUUCCCAAGCUUUUCUCACGUUGGGCUGCCAGGCUGCUCCACGCCAGUGGGUCCUGUGAGCACUGCAGCAGAGCCGAAAGCACAACGAAUGCCAUGCAGAGACUUUGCUGCUUGUGAACUGCUGCUCCCAGGCCUCACUUGGUUUUCCUUUCCUAUCCAGGCAAACAGCCAAGACUUGGCAGUGGAUGGCAACAGCAGUAAGUCAUGGGCAGCUGUGGGCACUAUGGGCUUCUCUCUGCUGCCUUGAGCAGAGGAGCACUGCACAGCCAAUGUUUGGCUUAACUGCUUGACCUGGCUUCUGGGUUGUGAAUCUGCUGGGUAGUGAUGUGUUAGUGCUCAGGAUGGUGCAACCCCCAGACUGAUGGAACGAAGGGGAAGUUGCUGGAAGAAAGGCUCUUGGCUGGUAGAGCUGCUCUUCUUAUUGUUGCGUGGGUGUGGAUAAGAGCUGUGAAGAGCACUGCAGGUGGAUAAGGGCAAUGCAGGUUCCUUCAGGGUUGCUAAAUGCUGUGACUGUCCUGCGGGCAAAAGGAAAGUGCAUCAACCUCAAACAAGCAAACUGAACAGAGAAGAUGGGAGUUCUGCAGGAACACAAGUGGGUUUUCUUUAUGACCGCUGCCUGCCUGGCAGGUUGCUGUCUGAUGAUAAAACCAAGAAGUACAUUCAAACAUGGAGUACUCCGAGAUGCCAUAAACUGCAAACCUGAGGUUUAAAAUACGUUGCAAGAAUCAAUUUGCAACUUUACUGUAGGGCAGCCAUGCCUAUCUUGUGGCUUUGCAAGUUUGCUCUGCCAUGACAGAUAUCCCGAAACAGAUCUACUAAAUGUGGUGACAAAAAAAAUAAGAUUUUGACUAUUUUUGACUCGUUUGCUGACUCAACACAGCUACCGAGGUGGGCGCCAGAUUACAUUCUUGCACAUACAAAAGCAAUGUAGUUGUGACCUAAAUUCUGAUUGCACAGCCUCUCUUUUUGGGGCUGACUCAGAACCUACCUUUUUUGAUUUGCUGUUUGUGAUUUGCCUUUACUCCUUAGCUUAUGCGGUGCACACGUCUGACUUGGGCUUGGAAAAUGCCCUUUGGCUUUGAAACGUGGUAGCCUUCAUUUUUAGGUGCUCAGCUGUUCUUUUUUUUGAGGAGGGCAUGAGAAGCCAAGGCAGUAAGACUUCUUCCAGUCACUUUCGCAGAUCCUGGUCUGUGUGAGUAAUGGCAUCUCAGCAUAGCAGAAGGCAGUCUAGGUAAAUCCAUCUGCGACUAUGUCAUAAACAUCCCCGGUCAUCCAGACACUGUGGGGAAAGGUUCUUGACUCAUCAGCCUUCCUAGACACUGGGAAUAGAUUUGUAAGGGUUUGAGAAAACAGAAGAAAGGCCAAAUCAUUCAUAUUUUGGAGGUGGGAUGUGAAGCUUCCAGGGCAACUCUGUCCUUGGAGAGAUGGAAGGGUGGGUCUGAUUUUUUUGGUGUGAAUCUGGGGGUGAGGGAAGGUGUGGGCACUGAGUCAGAUAUCUAGGGCGUUAUCAGAUAUUCAGGUCCUGUGAAUGGAAGGGAUGAUUCCUCAGAAAGGCUCUGUAAAUUUUUCUUGUUCUCUCUUCUUGAAAGGGAGAAGCCACGGAAGCAUCGUCCACACGCACAGCCCAGUGCAGCCAAAUGGGCAAACGGCGUGUCAGCAUUUGCAGCUCAUCAGCAAGGAGUUCUGGCUGCUCCCCUGGGUAUGACGCCCCCUCCAUCUCCACUCUCCUCAGAAGCAGCCAGCCCAAGCGGAAUCAUUCUGCCCUUUCACUCAGCAGCAGCACUGGCUUUUGCAAAUUAAGGGCCAGAACAGAGAGGUGAUGAGACAAAAACUCAGCCCAGCUUUCAGACAUAGUUGCUACCCACCGCCUUAAGGGCAGAGAUCCGUACCCUGUGUGUGUGCUGCUGUUGGGACAUGGAGGCAGAGACAGUUCAUUCUGCUUUUUUUUUUCCAUUGUGCAUGGGUACACAACGUGGCUCUCAGCCUCCCCUACAAUAAUGCUUUGUUUCCCUCAACCAACACCACUCUGUCAGCGAUGUAAAUAAUUUUAGCACAUCCAAACAGGAAGUGGCUGAGUGUUUGGGUGUCUGAAUCAACAUCCUGGAGGCUGGGCCUUUGCCACCAGUGCAAUAACUAAAUGCAUGAGUCGCCUAUGGAUGGAAGCGCAGGUCUUGGAAAUGGCAGAGCCAGUAAAACUCAGUGCCAGAAUGUGACCGUUGCCAAAUAAUACUGUUGCUUGUCCAGUUUGUGUGGCCGCAGGCUGCUUCAUCUCAGCUUCUCCGUGCUGAUGCAAUCAUGUUUCCUUUCUGCUUGUGGCAUUGGUAUGGAAAGAGUAGAACGGAGGACUGGCACUAUUGCGUUGGUGCGCAGUACUCGAAGACUCUCAGGGUUGUAAGCUCAAUGGGCCAGUGGGGAAGCCAUGCACAGAAGGGAAGUUCUUCACAGAGAGAGUGUUGAGGUGCUGGAACAGGCUGUCCAGAGAGGCUGUGGAUGCUCUGUGCCUGGAGGUGUUCAUCCAGCUUGGAUGGAGCCCUGGGCAGCCUGGUCUGAUACCAGACCUGGAGGUUGGUGGCCCUACCUGCAGUUGGAACUUGAUGAUCCUUGAGGUCCCUUCCAACCCAAGCCAUUCUAUGCUUCCAUGACUUCAGAGCCACCAAUCAGAGCUUCUGAGCUUCCUGGGCCAAUUUUAGGAGAAGGAGUGGGCCCAUCUGCUGGUCCUGCUGGGGAUGCUGCAUGUGGGGUCGCUUCCAGAUCUGGUGAACACCCACGGGAAGCUGUCAUCAGCUGCUUGGCAGAAGCCAAAGGUUCCUACCAAAGUACUUCCCUGAGCCCUCCUGGUUUCCUGUCAAUAGAAAUAGUCGUCUCCUAACUUACACCCAUAAGAUCUUCUACAGGUGUUACUCAUUGCUCUCCUCUUUUAUCUCUCGCGCUGUUGGAGUGUGUUGGAAGGGUUUUUUUCUGGCCCAGGAAGAACACAUUUAUGAGCCAGUGCCCCGAAGCUCCUAUUGUUAGCUAUUUAAAAAGAAAGAAACAGAAGCCCCUCCCCCAAAACAACAAAGCCAAAGAGUAAGCUACAGAGCACACAGCCCCAUUUCAACAAUGCUAUCGUUAAUAAAACACGUGGAGGUUGCAGAGGGAGUAAUGCACUGUGCUGGCAUUGUGUUCUCACCUUGCACAAGUGUGUUUCAGGCAGAGAUGCUGAUCUCACAGGGACACUUCUGCAUCCCGCACCAAGCUGUUGCUUUGAGGCAGGUGUGGAUGGAGUGCUUUGUGAGGCACUGAGAGCAUCAACGCAUGCUCUGCCAUUUCACUGAAGAAAGUGGAAGCAUUUAACGAUGGGCUGGUGUGUAGGAGCAGUGACAUUUCUGCACUGUUAUUCAUCACGACCACGAUGGGCCAUGUUUGUCAAGAUGCCCUGUUUCGGAGAAGGCUCUCACACAUCCACUCUUGUUAUUCGUAACUGAGCAAAAAUGCAAUAUUUAAAAUGCAGCUGGCAAUGGCUUGGAGUCUGAAUCCUGCCUUGUCCUGGUGAAUCUCAGACAGUGAACCUGAGGAGAUGGCAGAUUGGAAGGGAAAACAGUCCGGAUUCGGGAGGGUGAAGUUCCGAUAUCUUGCAGAAUAAAAUUAAAAUCUCAAUUCAGAUCAAAACAGAGCUGUUAUAUCUCACGGGGGAAAACCUCCCAGUGUUUUCCACCAACUCAAGUAUCACUAUUAACAGAGAGUGACUUUUCUCACAGUGAAUGUGGUGUUGGUGGAAAUGCCAGAGGCGGCUGUAGGAAAUAGGACAUGACUUUUUGCUCUGAAUAAAAAUGUUUGGGGGCCGUAUACCCGUGGCUGCAGAGCUGUGCUGUGCCUUUGUCCUGCUGUGGGUGUGCAGAGCAAUGGGGUGGGAGACUCUCCGUCCUCUCUGCUUUGUGAAUAAGGAAAUAUUUCUCAGUCCACAGUGUCCACAGGCUGUGGUCCUUCCCAUCAGGGCAGGGAAUGGAUCUUGCUUCUCUGCAUGACAGCCAGCCUGCGGGGAGAGGUGUGUGGGGCCCAGGGACAACUCCUGACCUGCUGCUGUGGGGGAGAUCCACAGAUGGAGGCACGACUUGGAGUGAACACCCAAAGUCCUGGUUAGGACACAGUCCUGGGGUCUGAGUUAGAAGUGAACUAUUUCUUGCCAUUUGGGUGGUGUUUAUGGCAGUACCAGCUCCAAGACAAGCCCAUCACUUCCUGAAGGACUUGCUAAAGCUCAGCAGGAGAUGACAAAGCCCAUAUCAAAGCCAUGGGAGCAGCGACUGCUGCCACACAGGGGACACCUGUAACCUAUGUGCAGUGUUGGGGGCAUCAUGCUUUCUUCUUGAUCUGCUCUUGAACUUUUCCCCGGCUCCCCUUGCCCUGUACAAGGCACAGACAUGCCAGUGUUCCUGUAGCAGUUGGCGUUGUGCUCCAGCUGUGGAUCUAAUUGUGCUUUCUGAGCUGCAUGCAGGCAGCCCAGGGCAGUGCCACCGGUCAUCCCCAGCCACAGGUUCCUCCCAGCUGUGGUGCAGAGCUGGGCUGGGACAGGACUGAGCCAGGAUCCUGCCGCAGUCACCCCUACAGAUCGUGCUUCCAGCAUGAAGCUCCAACUCUGCAGAGAGAAGGCAGUGAGGAUGCUUUCGGGGUCCACGCAAGGCAGGAUGAGACACCCAUGCUACAGUUCUGCUAUCAGUGCAUGCUUGAUUGCUAACACCCAGCGAACCACCUCGGGCAGCAGUUCUGUUUACUCUCAGCUGGAGCCUGGCUUCCUCACUGUGCAGCAUCCAGGCCUUCACAAGCCAGCGGAGUUGCACCUUCACAGCC
rnacentral:lncRNA from 1 species